rnacentral:tRNA from 1 species
GGCGCUGUGGCGGAGUGGUUAACGCGUCACACUUGAAAUGUGAUCCCUUCGGGGGCCAAGGUUCGAAUCCUUGCGCGUCG